CGCGUAUAGAAUCUACCUUUUACUAAGGGAUAGCCUUUAGAAAUGAAGAUUAAUACCUUAUGGUAUUGUUAUUUCGCAUGAUUUAACAAUUAAAGAUUUAUUGGUAAAAGAUGACUAUGCGUCCUAUUAGCUAGAUGGUAAGGUAACGGCUUACCAUGGCAACGAUAGGUAGGGGUCCUGAGAGGGAGAUCCCCCACACCGGUACUGAGACACGGACCAGACUCCUACGGGAGGCAGCAGUGAGGAAUAUUGGGCAAUGGAGGCAACUCUGACCCAGCCAUGCCGCGUGCAGGAAGACUG
rnacentral:rRNA from 1 species